UAUAUAUAUAUAUAUAUAUAUAUAUAUAAUAACUAACAAAUAUAAUUAAGAGAUUUUUGUUAGAUUGUUGGCGCUAACUAUUAAUCCCAAUGGCUGGAGCUGUUAGAAAUAUGCAAGUAAUUCACUAAAAAUGUACAGAUACAGUGCUCACGGGUCUCGAUUGUGAUUCGGUCCACCCAACCUUUCGUCAUUUCGAAUAUGACUAGGCUCAACAUGGCACACAACCAAUUCACUUAAAGCGUACAGAUAUAGUGCCCACGGGUCUCGAUUGUGACUCGGCCCACCUAGCCUUAAGCCACUUCGAACAUGAUUCGACUCAACAUGGCAUUCCACCAUAGAGCAGGAUGCUGGCUUAUUUAAGCCAACAAUCUCCCUUCCAGUACUUGCACACAUUUGCUAUUUGCAACAUGCGGGAAUCGAAAACAGUAAUUUUUGGCUCUGAUACCACUUUUGAGAUCGUUGGCGCUAACCAUUAAUCCCAAAAGCUCGAACUGUAAAAAUAAGCAACCAAUUCACUUAAAAUAUACAUAUACAACGUCAAUGGAUCUCGAUUGUGACUCGGUCCAUCCAGCCUAAAGACGCUUCAAACAUGAUUCGAUCCACCUAACCUCACGGUAUUUUGAACAUGACUCGGCCCAAUGUAAUCUCCUGCCACGGGGCGAAAAUUUUUCAACUAAAAUUAUAAUUUUCUAUUAACUAAAAAUUAUACUUCUGGCCUUUU
rnacentral:lncRNA from 1 species